rnacentral:rRNA from 1 species
AUUGAACGCUGGCGGCAGGCCUAACACAUGCAAGUCGAACGGUAGAAGGCCGCUUGCUGCUGGCUUCAGCGGAGGAGGGGUGUAUAAUGCCUAGGAAUCUCCCGGGGAGGGGGGGAUAUCGUCGGAAAACGGGCGCUAAUCCCGCACACGCUCUGGAGGAGAACGUGGGGGAUCUUCGGACCGCACGCUUUCAGCUGCGCAUGUCAGAUUAGGUAGUUGGUGGGGUAAAGGCUCACCAAGCCGACGAUCUGUAGCUGGUCUGAGAGGACAACCAGCCACACUGGAACUGAGACACGGCCCAGACUCCUACGGGAGGCAGCAGUGGGGAAUUUUGGACAAAGGGCGCAAGCCUGAUCCAGCAAUGCCGCGUGCAGGAAGAAGGCCUUCGGAUUGUAAACUGCUUUUGUACGGGACGAAACGGAUCUAGUUAAUACCCGGCUGUAAUGACGUUACCAACAGAAUAAGCACCGGCUAACUUCGUG